rnacentral:tRNA from 1 species
GCGCCCCUAGCUCAGCUGGCAGAGCACCGCCCUUUUAAGGCGGACCGUCAGGGUUCGAAUCCCUGGAGGCGCACCA